rnacentral:rRNA from 1 species
CAGUAGCCGCGGGAAUACGUAGGUGGCAAGCGUUGUCCGGAAUUAUUGGGCGUAAAGGGCUCGCAGGCGGUUUCUUAAGUCUGAUGUGAAAGCCCCCGGCUCAACCGGGGAGGGUCAUUGGAAGCUGGGAAACUUGAGUGCAGAAGAGGAGAGUGGAAUUCCACGUGUAGCGGUGAAAUGCGUAGAGAUGUGGAGGAACACCAGUGGCGAAGGCGACUCUCCGGUCUGUAACUGACGCUGAGGAGCGAAAGCGUGGGGAGCGAACAGGAUUAGAUACCCCUGUAGUCCCUGUCUCUUAUAC